rnacentral:rRNA from 1 species
UAUUGGGCGUAAAGCGCGCGCAGGCGGUUUGAUAAGUCUGAAGUUAAAAGGCUGUGGCUCAACCAUAGUUCGCUUUGGAAACUGUCAAACUUGAGUGCAGAAGGGGAGAGUGGAAUUCCAUGUGUAGCGGUGAAAUGCGUAGAUAUAUGGAGGAACACCGGUGGCGAAAGCGGCUCUCUGGUCUGUAACUGACGCUGAGGCUCGAAAGCGUGGGGAGCGA